CCUCACUAACUCCCUCUAGGAAAAGUCAGUAACAGAAACCCCAAAUCAAGAGCAUUUUCUCCUUCCUUGGGGAGGUGUCAGACCCCGGAAACCCCUGAGCAUCCCUGGCAACGCACCCAGGAGGGGGCACAGGAGGAGCCAUUGUCAAGGGCAGGACCUGGUGCUGGCCUCCAGCCUCCACCCAGUGGCUCUUGCAGCCAUGUGCUGGGCACCCAGGGAUCCAGGAAGGGGGGCGGGAAGAGCACAGGUUGCUGGGCCUCCAGCGUGCUGGUCGCCUGCUGAUGGCUGCAGACUUGCUCCUCGGCCUCUGGCAUUGGGAAUCUGCAGCUUCUCUCUGCAGAAAACUCUUCACUUCUGCUCCGGGCAGCCUCUCAGCUGCUCCAGGAGGAUCCCGUGUAGCUCUCUCACAAGGGAGGCCCAGACAGGGCUCGAGAUCCUCUCUCCAAUAAACUGCAGGAGGGCAGGUGCACCCUGUGCAGCCACCUCUCCCUGGCUCUGCCUUCAAAGGAGCUGGUCAGCCAGUGACCACCCUUCAGAUCCCUCCAGUGAGAGUCAGACAGUGGUGCACUUGGCACCCCAAGGGGCAGAGGAUGUGCCUCCGGUCUGUGGCCUGAGCCAGGCACCUCCCACUUGUCCUUCCUGGAGCUCCCUAGCAACAACAGACACCACAGAACCUCCUGGAAUCUUGAAUCCCAGCCUCAGUGACAGUCUCGUGGGAGAUGAGGGCUGGGAACGCUGCUGCUGGUCCCUGGGUAAAUCCUUCCACAGAGCCUCACACCCCUUCUUUUGUCUUCAACUGAGACCGCGGCAUUACCCACCACCUGGACACACAACCCCCUGCAGCAGUGCUAUGUAUAAAACACAGCAGAGAGACAGAGAGAAAGGUCUUCCUUCCGUUGGUUCACCCCCCAAAUGGCCACUACGGCCGGAGCUGCGCCGAUCCUAAGCCAGGAGCCAGGUGCUUCCUCCUGGUCUCCCAUGCGGGUGCAGGGCCCAAGCACUUGGGCCAUCCUCCAUUGCCCUCCUGGGCCACAGCAGAGAGCUGGACUGGAAGAGGAGUAGCCGGGACUACAGAUGAUGGAAGGACAGACGACAGAUAACAGACUGAUAGAUGAUGGAUACAUGAUAGAUGGGACUGACAGAUGCAUAGCUAGAACAGACAGCUACCCGUUUUUUUCUGCUCCUCUGCAGAACACUAACACAAGGACUUAACCAGAGGGCAACGUGGGGCAAGACGAACGUCACUGCUCCCGGCAGCUUCUUCUUCUUCCGCUGAGCCCUGCAGAGGCAUUUCCCGUCUUCUGCCACGGCGCAUUUUAUCCUUAGGUCAGGUUAUGUGGCUCUUGGCAGGGGACCACGUUCAGACAAACGUGUUCCUGGAAACUACACUGUGAAUCCAGCGGUCAUCAGGCAGGUGGGGCUUUCCCGUGGAAACAAUGCUCUGUUGCACGACGCCAGGAGGGAGAACGCAUUGCUCCCGGACGGCACUGUGCAGAACAGAAGGGACUUUCCCAGACACCUUGUCCUGACUUCGGGGAGGUAGGCCGUGCACUCUCCUCACUGUACACAAGAAACUGCAGCUCAGAGAAGCGCUUGGCCAGGGUCACCUGGCUGAGGAGGGACCCAGCCAGCUCAGCCCCACGGAGUGGCCUUUCCAACUUCUCCUUAACCAGGCAAGGCCUCAGCUUCUACUGAAUCAGGCAGAGCAUCCACACAAGAAUGUGGCUAAGAUUGUAAAACUUUACUCCUAGGAGACAUAAAACGCAGAAACGAGCGCACUGACUACGCAGGAGACCCCUGAGCGCUGAGGCCGACCUGUGACACUGAUCUAAGCAGCACUGCCCGCCACAGAGCCCCUUGCCUAAAACUCGCGCCCUCCCCACCUUUCCCCAGCACUAAUUCAGCCUUCUGUCCCCGCGCUGAGCCAGCCUGCGCUCUUUGGUCCUUUUUCAUGCUCCCUUGAUUUGCCUGCCCAGGUGCCCUGCUGUCUCAGCUCUGGGCCCCCUGGGCCACAGUCCACCAGCUCUGCUCACUCCACCUUCCACCCCCGCUCUCCCUGACAUCCAGAGAUGCAGUCUCAUCUAGGAAUCUGCAAAGUCACUUUAUGCCCCAUAUGUCAUGCCCUGAGGGCACCUCGGACCCAAAAUGCCUGGACAGGGACUUGAGGGAACAGCAGGAGGGGAGGAGACGGGGAACAGAGCUAAGGAGAGUGGUGUACUGAGCUAAGCCUCUGCCUGUGACGCCGGUUUAGUCCCAGCUGGUUCUCUCCCAAACCAACUCUCUGCUAUGGCCAGGGAAAGCAGUGGAAGAUGCUUGGGUCCCUGCACCCACGUGGGAGACCCAGAGGAAGUUCCUGGCUCCUGGUUUCAGAUCAGCCCAGCUCUGGCCAAUGCGACCAUUUGGGGAGUGAACUAGGGGAUGAAAGACCUUUCUCUCUGUCUCUACUUUUCUGUCUGUAAUACUACCUCUCAAAUAAAUAAAAUCUUUUUUUAAGCA
ensembl:lncRNA